AGGAAUCAGGUUGCAGGAAUAAUAUCCUUAAAAACAUGCAUAUAAAUCUAUCAUCCUGAAAGCUGGGCCACCAGCACACACACUCCAGCAAGAAUGGCCUUAGUUUGUUUAUUUACUCUUUGAUUUAUUACAUACAGGACAAUUGUGUGUGUGUGUUUUAAAAUUUAUUUAUUUAUUUUCAGGCGUUAGUUCUAACCCCUGAAAUCCAGUUACCUUGGUGAAAUAAAUUGGAUCAAUCUGCAGAAAGUUGUUUCACAUAGACUCAAGCCUUUCUACUCUUACCUGAUAGGCUCUUGUCUAUCUUAGGUUUCAUUCUAAUCAUUGUGUGCUGAAGAUGAUGCUAAUUUAGAAAUAAUAAUAGAUUGAGCAUAGCUCCAGAUAGCUGGGUUGGUUUUUCCAUUCUCUGUUCUGCAGUUUAAGGAAUAUACCUAAUACUUUAAUGUGGGGUGACCUGGAAAAAAAGGACCAGAUUACGAGUCUAUCGCUCUUAACCACUACACCACACUGGCUCUCCCCACUUGUAAUUCCCAGUGCUGGUAGAACAUAACUGUUGGGGCUAAUGGCCAUUGACAGCCUUAUCCUCCAAGUAUUUUUCUUAAUACCCUUUAAGAGUCAUCCAUGUUGCUUGCCAUUGUUAAUAUUACCACUGAGGGAACCCUGAUAAGUUUCUGAGGAACCUCAAAAGACAGUUUAAAAACCACUGCCUUAGCAAUUUAAAGCAUUUUUUCCUUUUUGAAAAAAAAAUAAUAAUGCAUAGUUAUUGCAUCAUUUCCCUUCUCUCUCAUAUGAUAGUGAGUGAGGUCAAAAGUAUCAGUGCUAGUUUGUCAUAAAAAUACUCACUUUUUAAAAAAAAAACACCCUUCCCUCUUGAACGAGGAACUGAAUCAUGCUGGGCCCCAAGGUGACAGUAGAUGGGAAGCAUUUCCUCACAAAUCACCACUUCACUGACAGCGAGGAGAUGCUCUCUCUAGAGGAUUGAGGCUUGGCUGCAUUGCUUUAAUAGCACAGGUGUACUUUCUUCUUCUUCUCCCUGUAAAACUACACAUUUCAAGCUCAACUGGAACCGGCACCUCUGUGUUGAGUUCUUCACCUUCCAAUCACAACAUGUAACAUCUGUGUAUACCAUAUAUCGUGACAUCAUCCCAUGGCACAUGGGAAUCGCCUACUGGUGAUCAGGCUGGGAAGCUUUGAACAUCUUGUCUCUAUUCUUAUGGGGUCACCAAGGUCUGUGGUACAUCCCUGUAAACAUGUAGGCUUGCAUUUUAUCUAAAUCUAUGUGCAAUAUUGAGUAUGAGUCCUGAGGUUAAAUGUGGAUGCUCUUAGGUAUGUCAUCCGACCCAGCUGGAAAUGGAUUGCUAGAUGGGCUUUUGGUCUGAUUCAGCAGGGUUUUAAAGCUUUUGAGUGCAACACCUGACUGUUUACCAGGGGCAAGGGCCCUUUCUUCUGUUGAGGGACACAUCCUCUCAAGGCUGAAACGUUAGGGGCAAUAUACACGCAGUGAGACAAAAGUAGGUGGGGUUGGAACCACAGUACUUGUACCCUUCAUUUCUGCCACCCAGACUUUCCAACUUUUCUCUGAUGAAAAUAGGGACAUCCUAAGGAAAAGCGGGACAUUCUUGGAUGAAAUCAGAAACUCAGGGAUGUCCCUGGAAAAUAGGGACACUUGGAGGGUUUGUAUCACCCCCUUUCUCUUUUUUUAAAAAAAAAAAUCCUUUCCAUUCACAUAAAAUUAGGGCAAAGGCUACAUGAAACUGGACUGAGGGUUGCAGGUUUCCCACCUGUUUCGUAUGCUACAGUGAACUUCUCUCCAGAAGUGCCACGGAUGUUUGCUUGCUAGUCUACUGGUUGGGCACCUCUGUUUUAAAAAUAGGUGAUGGGAGAGCAGAUAAGUGUGCAAUGUAAAUACUAAGUUUUGUUGUUCUUGUUAUUACCAAUAACAAUACUAAUAUUAAUGCCACCACCAUUACAAACCCCAACACUGUUGAUAUGCAGAAAAAUACUGUCUUUUCUGCCCGCCCAGUAGAAUCAUUAAUGAACAUGACUAGAAUUGCCUUAAAAAGGUGUUUUACACAGAGUAGUCCCAUUCACAAACCUACCUUAGUCAUUUUGACUAACUUCAGUGACUCUACUCUGAGCAUUAGUAUCAUUGGAUUCUACCCUGUGCUUAAAAUAAAUAAAUAAAUCCAUGUUCUUUCCGUGCCAAAGAAGCUCCAUCCAGAAAAUGCUAAUUCUUUGCUUAAAAUAACGGAUGUGAAUCAUUCACAUUUUAAUGUCAGUUUUGCAUAAAUGUGUUUUAGUUCUGCACCUGGUAUCAGAGUUUUUGGAGAACUCGGGACUCUUCAUUGAUUAUUUAUAUUUUUUUGAGGCCAAGAAUGAUCUUGCAGCAGGAAGAGAAGUGCUGAUGAGUGAGGGGUGAAAGCUUUGUACCAGAAGAGAAGGACAAGUGACCCAGGGCAACUAAUUUUUCCUCUUGCACAUCUGAUUGCAUUCUGUAAAUGCCAUCCUAGGCCUGGAAUGCUGCACAUGGGAAUUUGCUGGGGAAACAAUCCUGAUGCUGCAAUGGGGAGGGGUGGUGGUGGAUGGAGAAAAAAAAGAAGAAAGGAGGAAAUGCAAAUAUCCUUGGGACAUAACACUGCAGUCUGUAUGCAGAGAGCAGGGCACAAUGGCCCUUUGUGUAGGUGAGCAGGAGGAAGGGCGUGGGCAAGGCUUACUCCUUUUUUCCUCCCUUUUCCCUUCCUAAGCCACUCAGCAACAAAGGGUAAGAGCUGUUCCUCUUCUCCUGGAAUGCUAGUGAAAGGGAGAAGGACACAGUAGGCCAGCCCAGCUUAUUCCCUUCCCUUCACCUUUCUCCAUCUUAUCCAGUUUCCCAGGCUGCAGCACACUUCCCCACUGAGUAGGCACUUCUGGCCCUAGUGUUAUGGGUGCAAGGUGUGGUAUGUAUGCCCUAAUGGUAUGUCAAGGCUGGUUUUAGGGGCAAGAGACUGCUGUGACACUCGAUUAAAUAGUCCAAAUGGUUCAUCUUCACUUAUAAAGCCGGCAAAUCAUUACUGUGUGGCCCAGCUUUGUGUUCAAAUUUUGGUUUGGUUUUGCCUGGAGUGUCUUGGAACUCUGGCGGGUGUCUCUUCGCUUCGCUUUCCACCCAGAUAGCGCAGGAUUGUGCCCCUUGAGGGAUUGACUUGGUGCCCUGAUCCCUGAAGUACCCCUAAGCUCAGUUAAACUUCAAGCCAAACUUGUCCAAUGUGCUGCCUGUAGUGAGAGUGUGAAGCUGUGAGGAACUGGUCUUGAGAAGGGGCAGCACAGGCAAAAUCUUACAGCAGCUCUCGCUGCCCAUGAGCAAUAGAUUCUUCUCAGGCUUCCCACACCUUUCCCCAUUUUAAUUAGUUUCCCUUAGCAAUUAGAUCCAACCCUAGAUAAAUAAUAUCACUGCACAUUUCAUUAUGCUAAUAUGUGAGCAGCUAGCGCACGAGAACCGGCGCAUGAUGAACAAGUGCAAUUUAUACAGAAGAAUUUCUAGAUUAGCUGGCUUUGCAGGCAAGACAACGGUCAGUUUAGCAGGAGUUAGGGACAGAUUAAUCUUAACGCUAAGUAUGUCAAAGGCCAUUUCACACAAUAUGUGUAGACUAACCCAGGUUUGCCACAAAAUUUCUACCCAACAGGGAGCUGCAGCUAAUUCUGGCAAGUGUACGUAGGCAGCAGUAGAUGUAUUUGCAAAAUGUAUGUUUUGUUGCAUUCAUACCUUUUGACCACUAGUAUAAAAUCCCUCAUAGCUGUUUCCCUUUCCCCCCCUCACAUUGAGAUUCUGGAAGAAAAAGAAAACACACAAAUCCUCCAGAAAUACAUAUGUGUAUAUCCAGUACAUGUAUUAAAGUAUUGGAUGUUUUGGGAGCAUACAAAUUCCUUAACUUGGGGUUUUAUUUUCUUGGUUGUGAUAUUUUCCAUUCCUUAUAAUAUCAAGGCUUAUGCCUUAGUGAGUGGCAAAUCAUUAUUCUUAUUGUACAGCCACAUUCUUUAUGUGGGUUGUUGGCUGUCUUUCUAAUUAUAUUCUUGGUUGGGAAGCAACCAUCAAGAGCAUUUCUUUAUAUGUCCUUAGUACAUCUAUGUUUGUGCCUGUAUAUGUGUUAAUGCCUUUCUGCCCAAAAAGGCCCCCAAUGGUGGCUUGCAUU